rnacentral:rRNA from 1 species
GACGAACGCUGGCGGCGUGCUUAACACAUGCAAGUCGAACGGAAAGGCCCUGCUUUUGUGGGGUGCUCGAGUGGCGAAAGGGUGAGUAACACGUGAGUAACCUGCCCUUGACUUUGGGAUAACUUCAGGAAACUGGGGCUAAUACCGGAUAGGAGCUCCUGCUGCAUGGUGGGGGUUGGAACGUUUCGGCGGUUGGGGAUGGACUCGCGGCUUAUCAGCUUGUUGGUGGGGUAGUGGCUUACCAAGGCUUUGACGGGUAGCCGGCCUGAGAGGGUGACCGGCCACAUUGGGACUGAGAUACGGCCCAGACUCCUACGGGAGGCAGCAGUGGGGAAUAUUGCACAAUGGGCGGAAGCCUGAUGCAGCAACGCCGCGUGCGGGAUGACGGCCUUCGGGUUGUAAACCGCUUUCGCCCGUGACGAAGCGUGAGUGACGGUAAUGGGUAAAGAAGCACCGGCUAACUACGUG